rnacentral:sRNA from 1 species
GCAUGCGCACCUCGCCAGGGCCGGGGCCGGGACGGGACAGAAACUGGCGGCUUGGUUUGUUCAGCGCGUCGCGGUCAUGGCUCUCGUUUCAGGCCUCCACGGUGUGCACCUGGAGUCAGGAGCGCGCUUGUGCGUACAGUUCGGUUCAGUUACUAAAAGAUGUAACCGAACUGCAGAUCCUUGGUGAAAUAUCUUUCAACAAAUCUCUAUAUGAGGGACUGAAUGCAGAGAACCACAGAACUAAGAUCACUGUCGUCUUCCUGAAAGAUGAGAAGUACCAUUCUUUGCCUAUCAUCAUUAAAGGCAGCGUUGGUGGACUUCUGGUGUUGAUCGUGAUUCUGGUCAUCCUGUUCAAGUGUGGCUUUUUUAAAAGAAAAUAUCAACAACUGAACUUGGAGAGCAUCAGGAAGGCCCAGCAGAAAUCAGAGAAUCUGCUCGAAGAAGAGAAUUAGGACCUGCUAUCCACUGGGAGAGGCUAUCAGCCAGUCCUGGGACUUGGAGACCCAGCAUACUUUGCAUUACUUUUUCCUUCAGGAUGAUCUAGAGCAGCAUGGAGCUGUUGGUAGAAUAUUAGUUUUUAACCAUACAUUGUCCCAAAAGUGUCUGUGCAUUGUGCAAAAAGUAAACUUAGGAAACAUUUGGUAUUAAAUAAAUUUACACUUUUCUUUGCA